rnacentral:rRNA from 1 species
GAUGGACGCUAGCGGCAGGCCUAAUACAUGCAAGUCGGACGGGAUUGAGAAGCUUGCUUUUCAUGAGAGUGGCGCACGGGUGCGUAACACGUAUGUAGCCUACCCAUAUCAGGGGGAUAGCAUCUCGAAAGAGAGAUUAAGACCGCAUAACAUUAUUGAUUGGCAUCAUUUAAUAAUCAAAUAUUUAUAGGAUAUGGAUGGGCAGGCGGAACAUUAGCCAGUUGGUAAGGUAACGGCUUACCAAGGCUACGAUUUUUAGGGGAUCUGAGAGGAUUACCCCCCACACUGUUACUAAGACACGGACCAGACUCCUACGGGAGGCAGCAGUAAGGAAUAUUGGUCGAUGGACGGAAGUCUGAACCAGCCAUGCCGCGUGCAGGAAGACGGCCCUAUGGGUUGUAAACUGCUUUUGCAGGGGAAUAAACCUCGAUACGUGUAUCGAGCUGAAUGUACUCUGAGAAUAAGGAUCGGCUAACUCCGUGCCAGCAGCCGCCGUAA